CCUCAUUCACACGGUCAGUGAUUUCCAUCAGUGGUUUUGAGCCAUAACCAGGUGCGGCUUUAAACACAACAGGUGCAGAUCAUUCCCGUAUACCUUAUGUCUGUUGAGGCUCCAGUCCUGGUUUUGGCUCACAUUCACUGAUGGAAAUCACUGAUGUGUGAAUGAGACUUAACCUUGGCAUCAGAUUCCUACCUUUGUAAUACA